AAAGUGGCUGAUUAUUUUCAAGAAAUACGUGACAAUCGUUGACGACGAAUUAAUAAUUAAAUCGAUUCUGAGUUUCUCCUGGUAUUCCAGUCCUGAUUCAGUUCUUAUUGAUACAUAUAUUAAUUACUUGCUUGAUUUGACCUCAUUUCAUGUCAGUUUCAUUAAUAAUGUAUUAACAUCAUUAAUUAAAGCAGCUUUAUUACCCGAUCAUGAAAGUGAAUCAGUAUACAUUAAUAUUCAUAGAGCAAUUGAACUUCAAUUAACUACUACU